AUUUGCUUACUAAUAAUCCAGAUCCAUGUCAAAUGUCAAGUGCUGUUCUUACUGUUCAUAUAAACAAAAACUGACAGUAAUCUCUGCAAAAGAAAUUCCACCUUGAAGCCUGCUCCCUGCAGGAUGCUACACACUGCACAGCGAUGAUUCAGUUCCCAGAAACUCUGCCUACCAAUAACAAGUAUCAGCUCCAAGCAGGACCGAUCAAUUUUCAACCUAAUGCUGACAGGUAACAUCUCUGGCCAUUUAAUUUGCUGUUUCCACUUCACAUUUUUUUUCAUUAGGCAGAUGAAGAAAAAAAAUCGCCUAUCUGGAGCUGUGGACUUUGUUUUCAAGCACCAAAAAGAUGUUAAAAUUAAUCCUCAGCUGUUGUAUCCAGAAGCCUAAAGUGAUUCCUAAGAGAGAAAGAAUGGUUUUCCAGAAAGAUUGUCACACUGAAGUGACAGCCACUAACUACAGCAGGGAUCUGAUAUUGCUCUGCUUUUAUGUCACAGAAGGAAUCAUCAGAUGAACAGGCUCCAUGCUUAAAAAUAAAAGGACACCAAUGCUGCUGUAGCAAAAAAGCAAAGAAAAAAAAAACCCAGUGCUUCUCACAUACAGCU